rnacentral:rRNA from 1 species
UACGAAGGGGCGUAGCGUUGUUCGGAAUCACUGGGCGGUAAAGACGCACGUAGGCGGAUCUUUAAGUCAGAGGUGAAAUACCCAACGGCUCAACCUUGGAACUGCCUUUGAUACUGGAGAUCUUGAGUCCGGGAGAGGUGAGUGGAACUGCGAGUGUAGAGGUGAAAUUCGUAGACAUUCGCAAGAACACCAGUGGCGAAGGCGGCUCACUGGCCCGGUACUGACGCUGAGGUGCGAAAAGCGUGGGGGAGCAAAA